GGCCGUGUGGCCCAAUGGCAAGGCGCUUGACUACGAUUCGCAUCUGCUAUCAAGAGAUUCCAGGUUCGACCCCUGGCACGGUCA